AAAAAAGGUAAGCUACUAAGAGCGAAUGGUGGAUGCCUUGACUGGUAAAGGCGAUGAAGGACGUACUAGACUGCGAUAAGCUACGGGGAGCUGUCAAGAAGCUUUGAUCCGUAGAUUUCCGAAUGGGGCAACCCAAUGUAUAGAGAUAUACAUUACCUAUAUAGGAGCGAACGAGGGGAAUUGAAACAUCUUAGUACCCUCAGGAAAAGAAAUCAAUAGAGAUUGCGUCAGUAGCGGCGAGCGAAAGCGCAAGAGGGCAAACCCAGUGCUUGCACUGGGGGUUGUAGGACUGCAAUGUGCAAGAGGUGAGUUUAGCAGAACAUUCUGGAAAGUAUAGCCAUAGAGGGUGAUAGUCCCGUAUGCGAAAAACAAACCUUAGCUAGCAGUAUCCUGAGUAGGGCGGGACACGAGAAAUCCUGUCUGAAGCUGGGUCGACCACGAUCCAACCCUAAAUACUAAUACCAGAUCGAUAGUGCACAAGUACCGUGAGGGAAAGGUGAAAAGAACUGAGGUGAUCAGAGUGAAAUAGAACCUGAAACCAUUUGCUUACAAUCAUUCAGAGCCCUAUGUAGCAAUACAGGGUGAUGGACUGCCUUUUGCAUAAUGAGCCUGCGAGUUGUGGUGUCUGGCAAGGUUAAGCAAACGCGAAGCCGUAGCGAAAGCGAGUCUGAAUAGGGCGCUUAGUCAGAUGCUGCAGACCCGAAACGAAGUGAUCUAUCCAUGAGCAAGUUGAAGCUAGUGUAAGAACUAGUGGAGGACUGAACCCAUAGGCGUUGAAAAGCCCCGGGAUGACUUGUGGAUAGGGGUGAAAGGCCAAUCAAACUUCGUGAUAGCUGGUUCUCUCCGAAAUAUAUUUAGGUAUAGCGUUGUGUCGUAAUAUAAGGGGGUAGAGCACUGAAUGGGCUAGGGCAUACACCAAUGUACCAAACCCUAUCAAACUCCGAAUACCUUAUAUGUAAUCACAGCAGUCAGGCGGCGAGUGAUAAAAUCCGUCGUCAAGAGGGAAACAACCCAGACUACCAGCUAAGGUCCCUAAAUCUUACUUAAGUGGAAAACGAUGUGAAGUUACUUAAACAACCAGGAGGUUGGCUUAGAAGCAGCCAUCCUUUAAAGAAAGCGUAAUAGCUCACUGGUCUAGUGAUUUUGCGCGGAAAAUAUAACGGGGCUAAAGUAAGUACCGAAGCUGUAGACUUGCGCACAACUUAGAUUAUUUAAGUUUAGAAUAUGAGAAACUAAGUUAUAUGUUUAGUUAUAUUUUUACUGAUUUUUAUAGAGUAAAGAUAGAAAUAAAACUUAGUAAAAUCAGUAAAAAUAUUCUUAGAUUAAAGUUAAGUAGUUUAAGUUGUGUGCAAGUGGUAGGAGAGCGUUCUAUUUGCGUCGAAGGUAUACCGGUAAGGAGUGCUGGAGCGAAUAGAAGUGAGCAUGCAGGCAUGAGUAGCGAUAAUUAAUGUGAGAAUCAUUAACGCCGUAAACCCAAGGUUUCCUACGCGAUGCUCGUCAUCGUAGGGUUAGUCGGGUCCUAAGUCGAGUCCGAAAGGGGUAGACGAUGGCAAAUUGGUUAAUAUUCCAAUACCAACAUUAGUGUGCGAUGGAAGGACGCUUAGGGCUAAGGGGGCUAGCGGAUGGAAGUGCUAGUCUAAGGUCGUAGGAGGUUAUACAGGCAAAUCCGUAUAACAAUACUCCGAGAACUGAAAGGCUUUUUGAAGUCUUCGGAUGGAUAGAAGAACCCCUGAUGCCGUCGAGCCAAGAAAAGUUUCUAAGUUUAGCUAAUGUUGCCCGUACCGUAAACCGACACAGGUGGGUGGGAUGAGUAUUCUAAGGCGCGUGGAAGAACUCUCUUUAAGGAACUCUGCAAAAUAGCACCGUAUCUUCGGUAUAAGGUGUGGUUCGCUUCGUAUUAGGAUUUACUCCGAAAGCGAAGAAACUUACAACAAAGAGUCCCUCCCGACUGUUUACCAAAAACACAGCACUCUGCUAACUCGUAAGAGGAUGUAUAGGGUGUGACGCCUGCCCGGUGCUCGAAGGUUAAUUGAUGGGGUUAGCAUUAGCGAAGCUCUUGAUCGAAGCCCGAGUAAACGGCGGCCGUAACUAUAACGGUCCUAAGGUAGCGAAAUUCCUUGUCGGUUAAAUACCGACCUGCAUGAAUGGCGUAACGAGAUGGGAGCUGUCUCAAAGAGGGAUCCAGUGAAAUUGUAGUGGAGGUGAAAAUUCCUCCUACCCGCGGCAAGACGGAGAGACCCCGUGGACCUUUACUACAGCUUGACACUGCUAUUUGGAUAAGAAUGUGCAGGAUAGGUGGGAGGCUUUGAGUAUAUGACGCCAGUUGUAUAUGAGCCAUUGUUGAGAUACCACUCUUUCUUAUUUGGGUAGCUAACCAGCUUGAGUUAUCCUCAAGUGGGACAAUGUCUGGUGGGUAGUUUGACUGGGGCGGUCGCCUCCCAAAUAAUAACGGAGGCUUACAAAGGUUGGC
rnacentral:rRNA from 1 species